rnacentral:rRNA from 1 species
AGCUUGCUUCUCUGAUGUUAGCGGCGGACGGGUGAGUAACACGUGGAUAACCUACCUAUAAGACUGGGAUAACUUCGGGAAACCGGAGCUAAUACCGGAUAAUAUUUUGAACCGCAUGGUUCAAAAGUGAAAGACGGUCUUGCUGUCACUUAUAGAUGGAUCCGCGCUGCAUUAGCUAGUUGGUAAGGUAACGGCUUACCAAGGCAACGAUGCAUAGCCGACCUGAGAGGGUGAUCGGCCACACUGGAACUGAGACACGGUCCAGACUCCUACGGGAGGCAGCAGUAGGGAAUCUUCCGCAAUGGGCGAAAGCCUGACGGAGCAACGCCGCGUGAGUGAUGCAGGUCUUCGGAUCGUAAAGCUCUGUUAUUAGGGAAGAACAUAUGUGUAAGUAACUGUGCACAUCUUGACGGUACCUAAUCAGAAAGCCACGGCUAACUACGUGCCAGCAGCCGCGGUAAUACGUAGGUGGCAAGCGUUAUCCGGAAUUAUUGGGCGUAAAGCGCGCGUAGGCGGUUUUUUAAGUCUGAUGUGAAAGCCCACGGCUCAACCGUGGAGGGUCAUUGGAAACUGGAAAACUUGAGUGCAGAAGAGGAAAGUGGAAUUCCAUGUGUAGCGGUGAAAUGCGCAGAGAUAUGGAGGAACACCAGUGGCGAAGGCGACUUUCUGGUCUGUAACUGACGCUGAUGUGCGAAAGCGUGGGGAUCAAACAGGAUUAGAUACCCUGGUAGUCCACGCCGUAAACGAUGAGUGCUAAGUGUUAGGGGGUUUCCGCCCCUUAGUGCUGCAGCUAACGC